GACGAACGCUGGCGGCGUGCUUAACACAUGCAAGUCGAGCGGUAAGGCCCUUUCGGGGGUACACGAGCGGCGAACGGGUGAGUAACACGUGGGUGAUCUGCCCUGCACUCUGGGAUAAGCCUGGGAAGCUGGGUCUAAUACCGGAUAUGAGCUCCUGCCGCAUGGUGGGGGUUGGAAAGGUUUACUGGUGCAGGAUGGGCCCGCGGCCUAUCAGCUUGUUGGUGGGGUAAUGGCCUACCAAGGCGACGACGGGUAGCCGGCCUGAGAGGGCGGCCGGCCACACUGGGACUGAGACACGGCCCAGACUCCUACGGGAGGCAGCAGUGGGGAAUAUUGCACAAUGGGCGAAAGCCUGAUGCAGCGACGCCGCGUGAGGGAUGACGGCCUUCGGGUUGUAAACCUCUUUCAGGAGGGACGAAGGUUCAGGCGCGAAUAGCGUCCUGGACUGACGGUACCUCCAGAAGAAGCCCCGGCUAACUAC
rnacentral:rRNA from 1 species